rnacentral:rRNA from 1 species
GAUGAACGCUGGCGGCGUGCCUAAUACAUGCAAGUCGAGCGUCCAGACGAGGAGCUUGCUCCUCUGACGUUAGCGGCGGACGGGUGAGUAACACGUGGAUCACCUACCUAUAAGACUGGGAUAACUUCGGGAAACCGGAGCUAAUACCGGAUAAUAUAUUGAACCGCAUGGUUCAAUAGUGAAAGACGGUUUUGCUGUCACUUAUAGAUGGAUCCGCGCCGCAUUAGCUAGUUGGUAAGGUAACGGCUUACCAAGGCAACGAUGCGUAGCCGACCUGAGAGGGUGAUCGGCCACACUGGAACUGAGACACGGUCCAGACUCCUACGGGAGGCAGCAGUAGGGAAUCUUCCGCAAUGGGCGAAAGCCUGACGGAGCAACGCCGCGUGAGUGAUGAAGGUCUUCGGAUCGUAAAACUCUGUUAUUAGGGAAGAAAAAAUGUGUAAGUAACUAUGCACGUCUUGACGGUACCUAAUCAGAAAGCCACGGCUAACUUCGUG